AUGGACAUGAGGGCUCCUGCUCAGCUCCUCGGACUCCUGCUGCUCUGGUUACCAGGUGCCAGAUGUGAUAUCCAGAUGAUCCAGUCUCCAUCCUCCCUGUCUGCAUCUCUGGGAGACAGAGUCACCAUCACUUGUCAAGCCAGUCAGGGCAUUAGCAAUUAUUUAUAUUGGUACCAACAGAAACCAGGGAAAGCUCCUAAGCUUCUGAUUUAUGGUGCAGAUGGCUUGGCAGAUGGGGUCCCAUCAAGGUUCAGUGGCAGUGGGUCUGGGACAGAUUUCACCCUCAGCAUCAACAAAGUGGAGCCUGAAGAUGUUGCAACUUAUUACUGUCAACAAAGUUACAACAGGCCUCCCACAGUAAUACAGACCAUAGCAAAAAUCCCCAGGGAAGCAGAAGUGUGAGGCUGGGCUCUUUCAGCUACUUCUGGUGGUUCCUCUACCUCUUCAAAGUGUUUUACAGAUGCAGACAGCCUUGAGAUUUACACAGAAAA